rnacentral:rRNA from 1 species
CCUACGGGAGGCAGCAGUGAGGAAUAUUGGUCAAUGGCCGGAAGGCUGAACCAGCCAAGCCGCGUGAAGGACGAAGGUGCCAAGCAUUGUAAACUUCUUUUGUCAAGGGACAAAAUCAGGCUCGAGAGCCUGACAGAGGGUACUUGAAGAAAAAGCAUCGGCUAACUCCGUGCCAGCAGCCGCGGUAAUACGGAGGAUGCGAGCGUUAUCCGGAUUUAUUGGGUUUAAAGGGUGCGUAGGCGGACUGUUAAGUCAGCGGUAAAAGCCAGGGGCUCAACCCCGGCGAGCCGGUGAAACUGGCUGUCGUGAGAUGUCGAGAGGUAUGCGGAAUGCGCGGUGUAGCGGUGAAAUGCGUAGAUAUACGGAGGAACACCAGUGGCGAAGGCGGAUUGCUGGACAGUAACUGACGCUGAGGCGCGAAAGCGUGGGGAGCAAACAGGAUUAGAUACCCCAGUAGUC